GAGAAGCUGAAUGUUGAAGGCCCAGACGCUGUAGACCUUUUUCCUCCUGCUGCUGCCUCAUAGCCUGCAUGGUUUUUGCUGUCUUCUCCUAACUCUACAUCUCAGAGCCUCCCUCACCAUUUCAGGGCCCAGACUGAAAUCGCCAUUUCUCUAAUGGAUAGAUCUGUCUUGCUAUACAUCCUUGAAGUUGCUGCAUACCAUCGAAAUCUCCCACACCACCUCCCUGCCAAGUGACCCCCAUGUCCAUCAAGGGCCUGAGAAAGUCUUUUUCCUUAAGUCACAUCCCUGCUCAGACUCCAGAUAUUUCGCUCAGCUGAGGGGAUAUGCCCGAGCAUGGUCUUAGCUCUUCCUCUGAGCUAUCUGAAAAUACCACCAGUGGCAGCACAUAGCCACCUUGCCAUCUGCCUUCCCCGCCUCCUGGUGACAUCUCUCCAUCACUGCCAUCAUUCCACUGGACUUAACCUUUAUAGCAAAAACACAGGAGUCCUGCUGGGGAUUUAGUUCUUGCUGUUCAUGGCUGUAUCAGUUGAAUCGGAAGCUUCCAAGUGGCCCUUCAUGCAGGAAGAUGUUUAUUCCCCACAGCAUACCAGCACCAAAUCCCAGGCCCUCAAUCUGUUUAGAAACCUGUAUCCCUACUUACCCAAAUAAAGAGGUCAGACCAGAUGUGGGAAGGAAAGUAA